rfam:Camelus ferus unplaced genomic scaffold scaffold2798, whole genome shotgun sequence.
GAGGGUAUAGCUCAGUGGCGGAGUGUGUGCUUAGCAUGCACUAGGUCCUGGAUUCAAUCCCCAGUACUGCCA